AUAAGUGUAUUGUUUUUAGUAGAACAUCGGAAGUAUCGCCUAGCCAAAUAAUGUUAGUAUUAAUUUAUUUCUAAAAAAUGAAAAUAGAAGGAAAUAAUGGCUUAACAUCUUUGAAUUAAAUGAUUAUUCCAAUUUCUAUCUGGCAUAGUAUCUGCGGAUUAUUUCACAAUAACUGAUUGUAAACAAUGCUCUCAUAACAUAAUCCAAACCAUUUGUCUGGUUAAAGAAGUAAAAUAAAUUUUAGUAAUUUAUAGCGACAUUGGUACUACUUUAAGAACGACCAAUAAAUCACAUUUAUGUAAAAUCAUUUAACAUAAUUCUUGAAUUAGGGAUUUAUAUAGUUUUAACAACUUAACAUUUUCAGAAAAUUGUGUUUUGAAUGAAGGUGUCGGUCGUGCUGCACAUACAAGUAACUUGGAAGUCGAUCAAAUAUCCUUACAAUUUUUCAGACAUUGACUUUCAUGAAGAUAAUUCAAUCGACUUAGAUGAAGCCAUACAAUAAUGGAGCAAAUUAUGAAACUUAAGAGUGAGAAUAUUGUUGAAUAUUGUGUUUUUCCGACGAUGAGUUAAAAGAAAAUGAACAGACGAAUAAAGGAU